UCCAUCUCAGACACAACAUGAGUGCAGAAUAUCAGGAAUGUGGUCCAAGGCAGACUCAUUGGAGAAGAAAAAUCGCAAGGUAUUGGCUUACAUGGGAGCUUGAUAAACUUGAUACAGCUUGAUUAAAGAUCCUGUUAGCUGAAAUGUUGUAAUUGUUCUCCUAUAAAUCUGCUUUGGACUACAUUCCUGACUUAGUGCACAGUCC